rnacentral:rRNA from 1 species
GAGUUUGAUCCUGGCUCAGAUUGAACGCUGGCGGCAGGCCUAACACAUGCAAGUCGAACGGUAACAGGAAGAAGCUUGCUUCUUUGCUGACGAGUGGCGGACGGGUGAGUAAUGUCUGGGAAACUGCCUGAUGGAGGGGGAUAACUACUGGAAACGGUAGCUAAUACCGCAUAACGUCGCAAGACCAAAGAGGGGGACCUUCGGGCCUCUUGCCAUCGGAUGUGCCCAGAUGGGAUUAGCUAGUAGGUGGGGUAACGGCUCACCUAGGCGACGAUCCCUAGCUGGUCUGAGAGGAUGACCAGCCACACUGGAACUGAGACACGGUCCAGACUCCUACGGGAGGCAGCAGUGGGGAAUAUUGCACAAUGGGCGCAAGCCUGAUGCAGCCAUGCCGCGUGUAUGAAGAAGGCCUUCGGGUUGUAAAGUACUUUCAGCGGGGAGGAAGGGAGUAAAGUUAAUACCUUUGCUCAUUGACGUUACCCG